rnacentral:rRNA from 1 species
UGAGGAAUAUUGGUCAAUGGGCGCAAGCCUGAACCAGCCAUGCCGCGUGCAGGAUGACGCAUCUAUGGUGUGUAAACUGCUUUUGUACAGGAAGAAACAUCCCGACGAGUCGGGACUUGACGGUACUGUAAGAAUAAGGAUCGGCUAACUCCGUGCCAGCAGCCGCGGUAAUACGGAGGAUCCAAGCGUUAUCCGGAAUCAUUGGGUUUAAAGGGUCCGUAGGCGGCUUAAUAAGUCAGCGGUGAAAGUUUUUGGCUUAACCAAAAAAUUGCCAUUGAUACUGUUAGGCUUGAAUUUUUGUGAAGUAACUAGAAUAUGUAGUGUAGCGGUGAAAUGCUUAGAUAUUACAUGGAAUACCAAUUGCGAAGGCAGGUUACUAACAAACGAUUGACGCUGAUGGACGAAAGCGUGGGUAGCGAACAGG